CUUGCUGUAUGAACUAUAGUUUGCAACUCAGUAAUGAUUAAAAAAAAAAAACGCUUUUCUUGUAAAGCUUAUAUUAACUCACUCUGUCUGUCUUUCUGUCUGUCUGGUAUAGGGUAACGUGGGGCAAAAAGCCCUUCGGGGUAAAAGGCCUUUCUUAAUUUUUGUGCGAAUGGCUUAUUGGAUGAUUCAAAUUAAGACUUCCUGAGAUAGCUUACUUCCGUUCUUUUAAUGCACAUUGAGCUUGAUGUAGUAGCUUUUCAAUUUAUCGUCACAGAUCACUUUGAAUUUUUCUACCUAUCUCACUAUAAGAAAAUGUUAAGAAAUUACCAGAGAAAAACACAAGGCUCGUAUGGUCGACAUUCUUGACAGGAGAUUUAAAAGCUAUCGCUGAUGGGAUGCCACUUAACAAUGUCUCCGAAAAAAUUACAUUUAUAAUUAUUAAAUAUUUCACUUAUACUUUUUAAA